AUUGAACGCUGGCGGCAUGCCUAACACAUGCAAGUCGAACGGCAGCACGGCAGUAGCAAUACUGUGGGCGGCGAGUGGCGAACGGGUGAGUAAUACAUCGGAACGUGCCCGAGAGUGGGGGAUAACGCAGCGAAAGCUGUGCUAAUACCGCAUACGAUCUCAGGAUGAAAGCAGGGGACCGCAAGGCCUUGCGCUCACGGAGCGGCCGAUGGCAGAUUAGGUAGUUGGUGGGAUAAAAGCUUACCAAGCCGACGAUCUGUAGCUGGUCUGAGAGGACGACCAGCCACACUGGGACUGAGACACGGCCCAGACUCCUACGGGAGGCAGCAGUGGGGAAUUUUGGACAAUGGGGGAACCCUGAUCCAGCCAUGCCGCGUGCAGGAUGAAGGCCUGGUUGUAACUAGCUUUGUACGGUAACGAAAAGGACGUCUGGUUAAUACCGGGCGUCGAUGACGGUACCGUAAGAA
rnacentral:rRNA from 1 species